rfam:Oryza glumipatula chromosome 8, whole genome shotgun sequence.
AGGGAGUACUACCUGCGUCUCAGUCCAACAUUUGAUCGUCCGUCUUAUUUGAAAUAAAAUUAUGAUUAGUAUUAGUAUUAGUAUUAGUAUUAUUAUUAUUAGACGAUAAAACAUGAAUAGUAUUUUAUGUGUCACUAUUUUUUUAAAAUUUUUCAUAAAUUUUUAAAUAAGACGGACGAUCAAACAUUGAACAUGAAAACCUACAACUGCACUUAAA